UUUAUUUUUGAUACAGAGACAGAGCGCGAGCGGGGGAAGGGCAGAGAGGGAGGAGGGAGACACAGAAUCUGAAGCAGGCUCCAGGCUCUGAGCUGUCAGCACAGAGCCCGACACGGGGCUCGAACUCACGGACCGCGAGAUCAUGACCUGAGCCGAAGUUGGACGCCCAACCGACUGAGCCACCCAGGCGCCCCAGGGCACGGGGAUCUUUAUACGUCCUGUGAGAUACCUCCAGGAUUUAACCCAAUCAGUAACCCUGACAGGAAGGAGGACACAUUCAAUUCAAUAAACCCAUAUACAGCAUCUACUUCUGUAAGUACUUUCCCAAGGGCUGGGUGAACAAGAGAAUAGAUCAUGGGUCCUUUCUUUCAGGGGUUUUUGGAGGUAGUUAGUUACAUUUGUACCCAACUGUAACACAAGGCAGAAUGUGAUAAGCACUACCAUAGAGGUUGAAAUGCUAAGUGCUAAAAAAAAAAAAAAAAGAAAAAAAAGAAAAGUGGGGGGUGCCUGAGUGGCUCAGUCAGUUACACGUCUGACUCUUGAUUUUGAUUCAGGUCAUGAUCCCAGGGUCGUGGGAUUGGGCUCCGUGCUAGGUGUGGAAGUCACACCUUAAGAUUUUCUGCUUGAGAUUUUCUCCCUCUCUCUCUCCCUCUGCCUCUCCCCUCUCAUUUUCUCCCUCUCUCUCUCUCAAAGAAAAAAGAAAAGAAGAGGAAAGAAAAGAAAAGGGAAGAAAAGCGAAAAGAAAAGAAAUGCUAAGUGGACCAGGAGGGGAGGAAUUUAUUAAAGCCUGUGGGAUCUGGGAGGACUUCAUGGCCGUGUGAGUCCUGGUUGGACAGUCAGGAUUUUGUCAGGUAGAAACGGGAGGAGGACCAUUUGUUCGACUGCAGUUCAGGGUGCGUAGGAAGAGAUGGUGAGGGUCAAGGUGGAAAACUGUCUCCAAGAUGGCGCCCAAUGAUCCUCAACUCCUGCUGUUCAUGUUCUUUUGUAGUCCUCCCGGCAUUGUCUCAGGGGUGGUCUGUGUGACCAACGGAAGUGAUGGUGUGUGACUU
rnacentral:lncRNA from 1 species